CAAAGGCAGCAGCUAAAGCAGCAGCAUAUGGGACUGGGGUAGCACCUGGCUUUGGAACUGUUCCUGGUGUAGCACCUGGUGGCGUGGUACCUGGUGGUGUGGCACCCGGUGGCAUUGGAACUGGAGGGUUGGUACCAGGAGGUCCUGGAGCAGCAAAAGCAGCCGCCAAGGCAGCUAAAUACGGAGCUGCUGCAGCAAGAGGUCUGGUGCCCGGCGUCGGAGGAGUUGGCGGCCUGGCACCUGGCGUCGGAGGGGUUGGCGGCCUGGUGCCCGGUGUCGGAGUUGGCGGCGUUGGAGUGCCUGGGCUCGGAGCAGCAGCAGC